rnacentral:rRNA from 1 species
GAUGAACGCUAGCGGCAGGCUUAAUACAUGCAAGUCGUGGGGCAGCAUGAAGUAGCAAUACUUUGAUGGCGACCGGCAAACGGGUGCGGAACACGUACACAACCUUCCUUUUAGUGGGGAAUAGCCCAGAGAAAUUUGGAUUAAUACCCCGUAACAUAGCGAUGUGGCAUCACAUUGCUAUUAUAGCUUCGGCGCUAAAUGAUGGGUGUGCGUAUGAUUAGAUAGUUGGCGAGGUAACGGCUCACCAAGUCUACGAUCAUUAGCUGAUGUGAGAGCAUGAUCAGCCACACGGGCACUGCGACACGGGCCCGACUCCUACGGGAGGCAGCAGUAAGGAAUAUUGGUCAAUGGACGAAAGUCUGAACCAGCCAUGCUGCGUGAAGGAUUAAGGUCCUCUGGAUUGUAAACUUCUUUUAUAUGGGACGAAAAAAGGUCUUUCUAGAUCACUUGACGGUACCAUAUGAAUAAGCACCGGCUAACUCCGUGCCAGCCGCCGCGGUAACAC